AGAACAUCUCUUUCCUUACGCGAAACGCUACCGUCUAUCCCUACCCCACUCUCCCUUCUGUCGUCCGUUAACUCGCCAGUCAAUUUCUUUCGAUUCUCUCUCCCCUCGCGAGCUCACUGUUUCUUAGGUCAAUGCGAACCCUAAGACUCUUCCACUGAACUACAAUGGCGAUCGACGCUUUGCUGCUAGGGUUUUUUCCUCUCUCUCUCAAUUUUAGCCUUUUUUCCUUUUCUUCUUUCUGCAUUUUUGUCUUAUUUUGUUUCUGUAUUUGCUUUACUCGGUUGCUCUCUUAUUAACUGUUAAUACCUCUCCCCUUUAACUCUGCAAUUUUGAUUUGUUUAGGUUUUUUUUUUUCUUCUUUUGAAUCAAGGUGUUUGCGUUGUUCUGCACCCUUGCAUGCUUUUCCCACGCUUUUUGUUUAUCUGGUGGGUUUUUAGUUUAAGGUGCAAUUUUGCAUAAAGUUUGAAUUUUUCUUUCUCCCUACUGUUGAUAUUACUGCAGUUUGAGUGAUGUAGUUUAAAUUGGUUAUUCGUUUUUCCUAAUCGAGAUACAUAUUGAAAGAUAACCCAUUUCAAUGCCAGUGGCACAGAAACGUUGCUGGUAAGAUUUAUUUGAUCGAGGAGAUAUCGAACUUCAAAAAUUGUCAGGAAUAUUAGUUAUUGUUCACUGCUUUCUAUCGUAAUAGCACUGAUGAUUUAUGGCCGACGUAAAUUUAGCAAAUUUUCAUUUUCGAAAUUGUCUGCUUUGCAUCUCUUCGCGCAUGUGUUGGAAUAAGAAGCAUUAAUGCUGAUUUUUCCCCUUCUUGGAACUUGCUACCCUGGAUUAGGAGUAGAGUGAUGGGUUUGUUUGGUUGCCAUUUUUGCUUCAAUUAAAAGAAAUAGUGCACCAUGACAUAAGACAUGUGUAUGGAUGGGAUCUCCAGAAUUAAAAUAGUAAUGGUAAGAUUUUGGUUCAAUUUGAGAACUCUAAACACAUUCAUCACUAGGAAUCCAGAUUAAAAACCUUGUCCAUAAUGUCAUUAGUAUUUGUUGAAAUUGAAAUGGUUUUCAAAUUCAAAUCUGAACUAUGCUGUAAAAAAGUUCAGUUUUCUUUCCUUAAAUUGUUUGGUUUCUUCUAUUUAUUAAACUAGAUAAUGUCAGGUAGAAACCAAUGACUUAAUUUUAACUACUGAUCUGUCUGCUUUUUGUAGGAAGUGGGAAUGCACUUCAAUUAGAUGCCAGACAAUGUGGAUUCUCUUCAUUAUUUUAUUGGUGCAAUCGGAGAUGUUGCUCUUUUGUACGUAAUUAGAUUUGUGGCUUAAUUUCAAGUCCUGGGUGGUUUGCUUUUGGAGAGUCCUUUUAUUAAGUUUGCUGGAAGACAGGAAAUUAGUUUGUUUGAAGCAGGGGAGACUUACUAUUAUCAACUUUGAUGGCUGCAAUGGAUCCUAUAGAUAUCAGUUCUGAUAGUGAUGAUUGGUUUGAAGAUGAUGACUUUGAUACAUCACCUAUAAGGAGAUCUACUGAGUCUAGGGUUCUUCCAUCUUGGGCUACUACGGCAGGCACAGACUCUAGGAGGCAAACUCCACAUACUUCUCCCAGAAGAGAACAUGGUUCUAAUGGGAGCUCAUCAAGUGUAAAUGAUCAUUCAUUUCUAAAAUCUUCACAUCGGUUAACUACACAAGCAGAUGAUUCUUUGUAUUUUGCUGGAAAUGGGAAUAUGGGUCAACCUCGGACCGUUAAUUCUCGAAUUGCUAAUGUUUCUGGUACAGAUUAUGAGAAACUUUCUUCUCAACAAGCUCUGAAGAGGACCCUUCCUGCUUCUUUUCAUCGAUCUCCAACCAAUAGUAAACCAACCAACUUGGUGGAGAGUGGUAGUAGCAGUCAGACUCGUGAUAUUUAUGGAAGCAUGUACCAUUUGGCAGGGCCAAGUUUAACCAAUUGUAAGGGCUAUAUGAGGGACCAUUAUGGAAGGCACAUUUAUGAGGAUUUUUUGAUGUAUGAAAACAACGGAAGAAGGAAACUACCCCCAAAGCAGAAGGCCAUGGUCGAACUAACUGAGAAAGAAGAGGUUGCCGUGGCGAUGCUGAAAAGUAUGGUCCAAAAAGAUACAUACGGGGUUGCUCGAUUGGUGGAGGAUGAAGUGUCGCACUGGUUCAAGACAGUGGUGUCAGGAGCUGAGUCUGAGUUAGAGGAAGAG
rnacentral:misc_RNA from 1 species